rnacentral:rRNA from 1 species
AGAGUUUGAUCCUUGCUCAAGAUGAACGCUGGCGGCGUGCUUAACACAUGCAAGUCGAACGGGGAUUAUUUUGACAGAGACUUCGGUUGAAGUCGUUAUAAUCCUAGUGGCGGACGGGUGAGUAACGCGUGGGUAACCUGCCUCACACUGGGGGAUAACAGUCAGAAAUGACUGCUAAUACCGCAUAAUCGCACGGGAUUGCAUGAUCCAGUGUGAAAAACUCCGGUGGUGUGAGAUGGACCCGCGUUGGAUUAUCCAGUCGGCAGGGUAACGGCCUACCAAAGCGACGAUCCAUAGCCGGCUCUGAGGAGGGGUGGGACGGCCACAUUGGGGCUGAGACACGGCCCAGACUCCUACGGGAGGGCAGCAGUGGGGAAUAUUGCACAAUGGGGGAAACCCUGAUGCAGCGACGCAGCGUGAAGGAAGAAGUAUCUCGGUAUGUAAACUUCUAUCAGCAGGGAAGAAAAUGACGGUACCUGACUAAGAAGCCCCGGCUAACUACGUGCCAGCAGCCGCGGUAAUACGUAGGGGGCAAGCGUUAUCCGGAUUUACUGGGUGUAAAGGGAGCGUAGACGGAGCAGCAAGUCUGAUGUGAAAGGCGGGGGCUCAACCCCCGGACUGCAUUGGAAACUGUUGAUCUUGAGUACCGGAGAGGUAAGCGGAAUUCCUAGUGUAGCGGUGAAAUGCGUAGAUAUUAGGAGGAACACCAGUGGCGAAGGCGGCUUACUGGACGGUAACUGACGUUGAGGCUCGAAAGCGUGGGGAGCAAACAGGAUUAGAUACCCUGGUAGUCCACGCCGUAAACGAUGA